AUAUUCGUAAAGAAGAUAACUCAUAUAAUAUUGACGAUAAGGGUCAAAAGUUUCUACCGAGAUGCCGUAAAUAUCUUGACUAUGAGUAAAUGCUAACAUAAU
rfam:Clostridium sp. 7_2_43FAA genomic scaffold supercont2.3, whole genome shotgun sequence.